rnacentral:rRNA from 1 species
AUACGGAGGGUGCAAGCGUUGUUCGGAAUCACUGGGCGUAAAGGACGCGUAGGCGGGUUGGCAAGUCAGAUGUGAAAUCCUACAGCUUAACUGUAGAACUGCAUUUGAAACUGCUAACCUAGAGUAUGGGAGGGGGAGAUGGAAUUAGUGGUGUAGGGGUAAAAUCCGUAGAUAUCACUAGGAAUACCGAAAGCGAAGGCGAUCUCCUGGAACAUAACUGACGCUAAGGCGUGAAAGCGUGGGGAGCAAACAGGAUUAGAUACCCUAGUAGUCC